rnacentral:lncRNA from 1 species
ACUUCAAUUAACGCAGAAUGAGGACUCAGCCAUGGGAGCCUGGCCCUGUGAAGACAGGCUUAGUGCUAGAAGGCAGGAGUCUCAUUGCCUUUGGCUUUCUCUUCAGGUCAUUGGCUCUGAUGCUCUGGCACUGCUCAGCACACUUGUGACAAAUACCUGAAACAAUUUAAAGGAGGAGAGAGAAUUAUGUCACUAACAGAGUCUGCGGUCUCAGCUCAUGGCCACUUGUCCUCACUGCUUCUGGCCCAGACACAGUGAGCCACACAGGAACAGUGGGUAGCAUGCUUUGGAGCACCCUCUCCUCGUAACUUACAGAUGUGAAAUUACAGUUAUGAACUAGCAACGAAGAUAAUUCUAUGGUUGGGGGUUACCACGCCAUGAGGAACUGCAUGAAAGGGAAGGUUGAGAACCUCUGCUGUACCUGCAGAAGUCAUCACUUCAACUACCAUUGCUCUACUGAUGACAACCACAGCAUUUCCAGUUAGCUCUCUCUCUGUGCUUCGUGGCUGUAUGUCAAGAUGUGACUUCACUGCUAUAGUACCAUCACAUGCCUGC